rnacentral:tRNA from 1 species
UUGUAGCUCAGCGGUAGAGCGCUUGCCUCACAGGUGGGAGACCCUGGGUUCGAUCCUCAGAUAAA